CCUACGGGUGGCAGCAGUGGGGGAUAUUACACAAUGGGGGGAACCCUGAUGCAGCGACGCCGCGUGGGUGAAGGAGUGCUUCGGGAUGUAAAGCUCUUUCGGCAGGGAAGAAGCAAGACGGUACCUGACGAAUAAGCCCCGGCUAACUACGUGCCAGCAGCCGCGGUAAUACGUAGGGGGCGAGCGUUAUCCGGAUUUACUGGGUGUAAAGGGAGUGUAGACGGCCAAGCAAGCCAGGGGUGAAAGCCCGGGGCUCAACCCCGAAACUGCCCUUGGAACUGCAUGGCUGGAGUGCGGGAGGGGCAGGCGGAAUUCCUGGUGUAGCGGUGAAAUGCGUAGAUAUCAGGAGGAACACCGGCGGCGAAGGCGGUCUGCUGGACCGCAACUGACGUUGAGGCGCGAAAGCGUGGGGAGCGAACAGGAUUAGAUACCCUUGUAGUC
rnacentral:rRNA from 1 species